GUAGUCAUAUGCUUGUCUCAAAGAUUAAGCCAUGCAUGUCUAAGUAUAAGCAAUUAUACAGCGAAACUGCGAAUGGCUCAUUAAAUCAGUUAUCGUUUAUUUGAUAGUACCUUACUACUUGGAUAAUCGUGGUAAUUCUAGAGCUAAUACAUGCUAAAAAUCCCGACUCACGAAGGGAUGUAUUUAUUAGAUUAAAAACCAAUGCCCUUCGGGGCUCUCUGGUGAUUCAUAAUAACUUCUCGAAUCGCAUGGCCUUGCGCCGGCGAUGGUUCAUUCAAAUUUCUGCCCUAUCAACUUUCGAUGGCAGGGUCUUGGCCUGCCAUGGUUACAACGGGUAACGGGGAAUA
rnacentral:rRNA from 1 species